UGCAUUUUGAAUGUCUCCAACAAAGCUUUCGGUGACCACCAAAGGUAAUGUUUCUUUCACUUAACACAAAUGUUCAUUGAUUGAAUACUUUAUCUGUGAUUCUCUUUCAUUUUGACUUAUUGGUUUCGUGCAUAAACAUCAUUUGAAGCACCACUAAGUUCUCUUUUCUCCCACACUAGCGACAACUCUCUACUCUGGCUUUGAACCCACCCU
rnacentral:lncRNA from 1 species